AGACCCAAGUUUACCAGUAGAAGAGAAGCCUUGAUCUAUCUCAAGACUCAAAGUCACAAGAUGGUUUGUUCUGCCUUCCACGUGUAUUAUGUCUGCUCAGUCAAUGUUCUAUGAAAAUCUUCUCAAAGAUGGCGCCUCGAGGUGUGUCCUCCAGUUGAUUCCAAAUCCAGUUAAUAAUGAAGGUCAAUCCUCACAGCUACAGCCAGGACUCGCCGUAUGAACUGAAAUUCAGAAGACAAGAGCCUCCAUCCAAACAUCACAGAUUCCCGUCUUUGUGACCAAAGGAAAGUCACUUCCGGGUCAGGGUCUUGUCUGCAACGUUGGGAAACCAUCUUGCUGUGUUUGGAUCCUGAAGCCACGCCUGCCACGGUGUUUGUUUACAAUCGUCAUUUUUCUACGGAAGGAAAGCAGCACCGAGUGUACAAAGAGCGUUCCCAGUGUUUACUUCUGUUUCGUCACGGUUUUUAGCAAAGUGAUUGUUUAUUUCCGUGACUUAAGGGAAGAAAAAAGAUAAAAUCAUCCUCCUUGAAAUACAGGAAUCGUUUCACAGCUUCACUUCCUCGCAACUGGGGUUUUCUCGCCAGGCUGUGAAGUUUCGCACCGCUUCUUCUGUGAUUCGCUCCUGACUUGGACAGCAGGCCUGGUUUUCUGUGGGCGUGGACACGGUGCUCCUUUCCCGGAGAAGGGCUGACCGGAAAGAAAUCGUGUCUCUCUCUGCUCUCCGUGCUAAUCUCCAGAGUUAGCCUUGUCUCAGCCUUUGGGGAGGGUUUAUGGGUGCUCUGAGACUAUUUCCAUUCUCACUCUGGGGGAGAAGUGAUUUAAAAUCUCUGCUUCCAAAAUUGCCGUCGCCGUGGGACUUCUCUGUGGGGACUUUAGUGAGAGGGAAGUUCUGUGAUUGAUGGUGCCCACACAAAGAAUUCUUGGAACUCUGAAGCAAUACACCACCUGGUUAGUAAGCCGGAGAUAGGAGGUCCGCUUGCUCACUGUAAAUAUGUCCUAUUGAGCAGAACUAAAAACAUCAACUGGAAUCAGUGUCUUCCCUGGGCCCACGUGGUGGUACAUGUCUGUAACCCCAACACACAAGAAGCCGAGACAGGAGGACCCCUGUGAGUUUGGAACCAGCUUCAUCUACAUAACAAUUCCAGUGCAGUCAGUUACUUAGUGAAACCCCA